rnacentral:rRNA from 1 species
GAUGAACGCUGGCGGCGUGCCUAAUACAUGCAAGUCGAGCGAACAGACGAGGAGCUUGCUCCUCUGACGUUAGCGGCGGACGGGUGAGUAACACGUGGAUAACCUACCUAUAAGACUGGGAUAACUUCGGGAAACCGGAGCUAAUACCGGAUAAUAUCUUGAACCGCAUGGUUCAAUAGUGAAAGACGGUUUUGCUUUCACUUAUAGAUGUAUCCGCGCCGCAUUAGCUAGUUGGUAAGGUAACGGCUUACCAAGGCAACGAUGCGUAGCCGACCUGAGAGGGGGAUCGGCCACACUGGAACUGAGACACGGUCCAGACUCCUACGGGAGGCAGCAGUAGGGAAUCUUCCGCAAUGGGCGAAAGCCUGACGGAGCAACGCCGCGUGAGUGAUGAAGGUCUUCGGAUCGUAAAACUCUGUUAUUAGGGAAGAACAAAUGUGUAAGUAACUAUGCACGUCUUGACGGUACCUAAUCAGAAAGCCACGGCUAACUACGUG